UUCCCUUGAAGGAUGAGUGGUGCCUCUCCCAAGUUUCUCUGCUAGGGAUGUGAGGAGCUGAUCUCUGAGUUAUUCAGUGGUUUCUUACAUCAUUCCUGCGUUCCCAGCCAUGCCACAAGGCUUUCAGAAGCUUCGUGAUUCACUUCAGGAUAAACUGAAUCAUGCCUUGGGAAUUUCUCAUUGCUGACUUUAAGGGUUUUCUGAUGAUACUGGAUCAGGUGAAGAGAUCUGUGCUGCAUCCAUCUACCUGGGUUGGAAUUAGACACAGGAACAUUCAGGAAAGUUCCUCUGUCUGGUUCAGUGCCUGGUCACAGCGAGUGUUCCUGGCACAAGUGAGUGGAAAGAGCACUUUGGCAUGGAGAGGAAAUGAGCAGCAGAGGGUGAAAGGUGUCCUGGCAGGCACUUCCCAUUUGUGUCCUUAUCUGCCAGCCUCCAGCCGUCUUCAAAGGCUUCCCAGCUACUGUGUCCUGCAAGUUCAAAACCCUGCAGCCCUCUGGGACUGGAGAUGUGUGAAGGAGCACAAGG